GGGGGUGUAGCUCAGUUGGGAGAGCGUCGCGUUCGCAAUGCGAAGGUCGUGGGUUCGACUCCCAUCACCUCCACCA
rnacentral:tRNA from 1 species